rnacentral:rRNA from 1 species
GACGAACGCUGGCGGCGCGCCUAACACAUGCAAGUCGAACGAGAGAGGAAGAGCUUGCUUUUCCGAUCGAGUGGCGAACGGGUGAGUAACGCGUGAGGAACCUGCCUCAAAGAGGGGGACAACAGUUGGAAACGACUGCUAAUACCGCAUAAGCCAACGGCUCGGCAUCGAGCAGAGGGAAGAGGAGCAAUCCGCUUUGAGAUGGCCUCGCGUCCGAUUAGCUAGUUGGUGAGGUAACGGCCCACCAAGGCGACGAUCGGUAGCCGGACUGAGAGGUUGAACGGCCACAUUGGGACUGAGACACGGCCCAGACUCCUACGGGAGGCAGCAGUGGGGAAUAUUGCACAAUGGGGGAAACCCUGAUGCAGCGACGCCACGUGGAGGAAGAAGGUCUUCGGAUUGUAAACUCCUGUUGUUGAGGAAGAUAAUGACGGUACUCAACAAGGAAGUGACGGCUAACUACGUGCCAGCAGCCGCCGUAA